CAGUAGCCGCGGUAAUACGUAGGUCCCGAGCGUUGUCCGGAUUUAUUGGGCGUAAAGGGAGCGCAGGCGGUUUAGUAAGUCUGAAGUUAAAGGCAUUGGCUCAACCAAUGUAUGCUUCGGAAACUGUUAGACUUGAGUGCAGAAGGGGAGAGUGGAAUUCCAUGUGUAGCGGUGAAAUGCGUAGAUAUAUGGAGGAACACCGGUGGCGAAAGCGGCUCUCUGGUCUGUCACUGACGCUGAGGCUCGAAAGCGUGGGUAGCGAACAGGAUUAGAUACCCGAGUAGUCCCUGUCUCUUAUACA
rnacentral:rRNA from 1 species